AUUUAGCACACGGAAUAACGCUGUUUCCGUGCUGUGGUGGCAUCUGAAACCUGACUGGAAAAGAUCAAAGAUGUUCAAGCUUGAUAGAUGGGCCUCCAGUUGAGUUGCCACUACUUUUUCAAUUAUUUUCCACAAAAAUGAAAGGUUGGAUACUGGUCUGUAAUUAGCCAUGCAGUCUGGGUCUAGUAAAGGUUUCUUUAGGAGGGGUUUUACCACAGCUUCUUUUAGAGGAUCUGGAAAGUCUUCAGUUUUUAGUGAACACUGCACUAUUUUUUGUGAAGGCUGGGACAAAUGUUUC